UUUUAAUUUUAAUUUAUUUGUUUAUAAAUGCAUUUCCUAUGUAUGUUAUAAUUUUCUAUUUUGAGCUUUUAUAAGGCAUAAGUAAUAUGAAUUAUUCGAUUUUUAAAAAAAUUAAUCUAAUGGGAAAUCGUCGAAAAAAAGUUUGAUAUAUGUUAUUAUGACUUAUUAUUGAACUCAAAUUUAACACAUCAAUUACAGUGACCGGCUGAAUGACGAGUAAAUAAAAAACAUUCAUACUAAGAAAAUCGUAUAAACAUGACUUUGAAGAAAAGACAAUACACAAUAUUGGACGUACUAAAACUUUUUUGGGUAUUAGCUUAUUACGUGAGAGGAAAACCUCCGAAAAGCGGAAACUUAUAAAAAUUUCAAUUUGAAAAUAAUGAUUAAACGACGACAAAAAACUGAGCUUAUACUAAUAGAACAAUAAAGAACUCAUUCACACUAAUUUUUUCACUCAAAAUUCAAUUGUAUUUAUUCAUGUAUUUAAAAAUGUUCAACGAGUAAUGUAGUAAAUAAAUCAAAACAAAUUUUAAAAAUGACAAACGGCAUAUAACUAUUGCAAAUACGACAACCGAACAAUUAUUCGAGAAGUAUAGUAAUAAAGAAGUAAUUUGAAGCGUUAAUUCAAAACGCUUUACACAUAAAACCAAAUAAACUAAUACGCCGGGAACUGGAAAAUACUAUCUCUCACAUUUUUCAUUAUAGAUAUAUGAAAUUAAUUCAAACCUAUCGGACUUAAAUACUACCACUCGAAAUUAGUACAGUAAUUUUUUUAGUUUA